AGUACCUGGAAAUGUUGUUGGAGUCAUUCCUGUUAUUGAAAGGAUAAUGAUACCUACCUUCAGGAGACUUUUAAAGAUUCACAAAGUCCUUUCAAGAUUCCUCAAGUGAUAAGGGGAAAGACAAGUUUUUUGCUCAAAUGUGAUGAUAUGAAGAGGAGGAAUUAUUUCCCCCUUGAAUGGACAAAAGGUAUAUGGCCCUGGGGAGUGCUCACUGAGUUCAUGCGGUUCCUUGCAAAUAA
rnacentral:lncRNA from 1 species